rnacentral:lncRNA from 1 species
ACAAGAUCAUCCCUCAUGCUGUUUCUUGGUUUACUGGUGAGGCUGUGCAAGCUGAGGAUUUUGAUGAUAUGGAAGAUGGUGACGAGGAUGACGACGAUGAGGAUGAUGAUGAUGAAGAAGAUGACGAGGAGGAUGAGGACGAGGACGAAGACGAUGAUGAAGACGAGGAAGAGCUAAGCAAGCCAACGAAGAAGGUAAUCUUAUCUUGCAGCCAUAGAAGUACCUAUCUCUGCUCUCUGCAACAUCACUCUGUUCAACUGGCCUUG